GAUGAACGCUAGCUACAGGCUUAACACAUGCAAGUCGAGGGACCGGCGCACGGGUGAGUAACACGUAUCCAACCUGCCCUUUACUCGGGGAUAGCCUUUCGAAAGAAAGAUUAAUACCCGAUAUAAAGGAUGGGGAUGCGUUCCAUUAGGUUGUUGGUGAGGUAACGGCUCACCAAGCCUUCGAUGGAUUGGGGUUCUGAGAGGAAGGCCACGAAGAUUGGAACUGAGACCCGGACCAAACUGCUACGGGAGGCAGCGGGAAGGAAGAUUGGUCAAUGGGCGCUAGCCUGAACCAGCCAAGUAGCGUGAAGGGUGAAGGGUUAUGGGUCGUAAACUUCUUUGAUAUAAGAAUAGGUAUUAUAUGAAUAAGGAUCGGCUAACUCCGUGCCAGCAGCCGCGGUAAUAC
rnacentral:rRNA from 1 species